rnacentral:rRNA from 1 species
GACGAACGCUGGCGGCGUGCUUAACACAUGCAAGUCGAACGGAAAGGCCCUGCUUUUGUGGGGUGCUCGAGUGGCGAACGGGUGAGUAACACGUGAGUAACCUGCCCUUGACUUUGGGAUAACUUUAGGAAACUGGGGCUAAUACCUGAUAGGAGCUCCUGCUGCAUGGUGGGGGUUGGAAAGUUUCGGCGGUUGGGGAUGGACUCGCGGCUUAUCAGCUUGUUGGUGGGGUAGUGGCUUACCAAGGCUUUGACGGGUAGCCGGCCUGAGAGGGUGACCGGCCACAUUGGGACUGAGAUACGGCCCAGACUCCUACGUGAGGCAGCAGUGGGGAAUAUUGCACAAUGGGCGGAAGCCUGAUGCAGCAACGCCGCGUGCGGGAUGACGGCCUUCGGGUUGUAAACCGCUUUCGCCUGUGACGAAGCGUGAGUGACGGUAAUGGGUAAAGAAGCACCGGCUAACUACGUG